UACGGAGGGUGCGAGCGUUGUCCGGAAUCACUGGGCGUAAAGGGCGCGUAGGUGGCGGCCCAAGUCAACGGUGAAAGCUCGGCGCUCAACGCCGAGUCGGCCGUCGAUACUGGGUUGCUUGAGCACUGUAGGGGCCAAUGGAAUUCCGGGUGUAGCGGUGGAAUGCGUAGAGAUCCGGAAGAACACCGGUGGCGAAGGCGGUUGGCUGGGCAGGUGCUGACACUGAGGCGCGACAGCGUGGGGAGCAAAGCAGG
rnacentral:rRNA from 1 species